rnacentral:rRNA from 1 species
GACGAACGCUGGCGGCGUGCUUAACACAUGCAAGUCGAACGAAGUGGCGAACGGGUGAGUAACGCGUAAUCAACCUGCCCUUCAGAGGGGGACAACAGUUGGAAACGACUGCUAAUACCGCAUACUGCAGUAGGGGAUUUCGUCAGAUGAGCUAGUUGGAGGGGUAACGGCCCACAAGGGCGAUGAUCAGUAGCCGGUCGGAGAGGAGGAACGGCCACACUGGAACGGAGACACGGUCCAGACGCCUACGGUAGGCAGCAGUGGGGAAUAUUGGACAAUGGGCGAAAGCCUGAUCCAGCCAUGCCGCGUGUGUGAAGAAGGUCUUCGGAUUGUAAAGCACUUUAAGUUGGGAGGCGUUACCAACAGAAUAAGCACCGGCUAACUUCGUGCCAGCAGCCGCGGUAAUAC